rnacentral:rRNA from 1 species
GCAUCGGAACGUAUCCCGUAUGGGGACAACCCAGCGAAAGCUGGGCUAAUACCGCAUAUGCUCUACGGAGGAAAGCAGGGGACUCGCAAGGGCCUUGUGCUAUGGGAGCGGCCGAUGUCCGAUUAGCUAGUUGGUGGGGUAAAGGCUUACCAAGGCGACGAUCGGUAGCUGGUCUGAGAGGAUGAUCAGCCACACUGGGACUGAGACACGGCCCAG